rnacentral:rRNA from 1 species
GUGGCGAACGGGUGAGUAACACGUGGGCAAUCUGCCCUGCACUCUGGGACAAGCCCUGGAAACGGGGUCUAAUACCGGAUAUUACCGUGGAGCGCAUGCUCUGUGGUGGAAAGCUCCGGCGGUGCAGGAUGAGCCCGCGGCCUAUCAGCUUGUUGGUGGGGUGAUGGCCUACCAAGGCGACGACGGGUAGCCGGCCUGAGAGGGCGACCGGCCACACUGGGACUGAGACACGGCCCAGACUCCUACGGGAGGCAGCAGUGGGGAAUAUUGCACAAUGGGCGAAAGCCUGAUGCAGCGACGCCGCGUGAGGGAUGACGGCCUUCGGGUUGUAAACCUCUUUCAGCAGGGAAGAAGCGCAAGUGACGGUACCUGCAGAAGAAGCACCGGCUAACUACGUGCCAGCAGCCGCGGUAAUACGUAGGGUGCGAGCGUUGUCCGGAAUUAUUGGGCGUAAAGAGCUCGUAGGCGGCUUGUCGCGUCGGAUGUGAAAGCCCGGGGCUUAACCCCGGGUCUGCAUUCGAUAC